GUCCUUUAAUGAGCCUCAUUUAAGGCAUAUAUUGUGAGAGCCGGCGCAGGCCGACUAUGCCGAUAAAUGGCCGUCGCGAUAAAUGGCCGUCGUAAUAAACCUAUCGGACCCGGGGGCAGUACCCGGCGGCUCCACCCAAGCCCCUUAGCCCUCACUGCACGGAAGGGGGCUUGGGCGGGGCCGAAACAGGAUCGACGAGGGCGUAAAGGGCGUGCUUUUGCUCGGCAUGGUUCCGCCGUUAUCGGGCCAAUUCCAUAGUUGCCAACGACAACUAUGCUCCGGUUGCCCUGGCUGCGUAACGCAGCUCGGAAUACCGACUUAAAGCCCUGAGGUCUUAGCAGCUUCAGGCGGGGUUCGGAGGCACCUGGCAACAGAAGCCUCCACC
rnacentral:tmRNA from 1 species